GGGUUGUGAGGUUAAGCGACCAAGCGUACACGGUGGAUGCCCUGGCAGUCAGAGGCGAUGAAGGACGUGCUAAUCUGCGAAAAGCGCCGGUAAGGUGAUAUGAACCGUUAUAACCGGCGAUGUCCGAAUGGGGAAACCCAGUGUGACUCGUCACACUAUCAUUAACUGAAUCCAUAGGUUAAUGAGGCGAACCGGGGGAACUGAAACAUCUAAGUACCCCGAGGAAAAGAAAUCAACCGAGAUUCCCCCAGUAGCGGCGAGCGAACGGGGAGGAGCCCAGAGCCUGAAUCAGCAUGUGUGUUAGUGGAAGCGUCUGGAAAGGCGCGCGAUACAGGGUGACAGCCCCGUACACAAAAGCGCAUAUGCUGUGAGCUCGAUGAGUAGGGCGGGACACGUGGUAUCCUGUCUGAAUAUGGGGGGACCAUCCUCCAAGGCUAAAUACUCCUGACUGACCGAUAGUGAACCAGUACCGUGAGGGAAAGGCGAAAAGAACCCCGGCGAGGGGAGUGAAACAGAACCUGAAACCGUGUACGUACAAGCAGUGGGAGCC
rnacentral:rRNA from 2 species